rnacentral:rRNA from 1 species
GAUGAACGCUGGCGGCGUGCCUAAUACAUGCAAGUCGAGCGAACGGACGAGAAGCUUGCUUCUCUGAUGUUAGCGGCGGACGGGUGAGUAACACGUGGAUAACCUACCUAUAAGACUGGGAUAACUUCGGGAAACCGUAGCUAAUACCGGAUAUUAUUUGAACCGCAUGGUUCAAAAGGUAAAGACGGGCUUGCUGUCACUUAUAGAUGGAUCCGCGCUGCAUUAGCUAGUUGGUAAGGUAACGGCUUACCAAGGCAACGAUGCAUAGCCGACCUGAGAGGGUGAUCGGCCACACUGGAACUGAGACACGGUCCAGACUCCUACGGGAGGCAGCAGUAGGGAAUCUUCCGCAAUGGGCGAAAGCCUGACGGAGCAACGCCGCGUGAGUGAUGAAGGUCUUCGGAUCGUAAAACUCUGUUAUUAGGGAAGAACAUAUGUGUAAGUAACUGUGCACAUCUUGACGGUACCUAAUCAGAAAGCCACGGCUAACUACGUG